GACGAACGCUGGCGGCGUGCUUAACACAUGCAAGUCGAACGGAAAGGCCCUGCUUUUGUGCGGUGCUCGAGUGGCGAACGGGUGAGUAACACGUGAGUACCCUGUACCUGACUGUGGGAUAACUUCAGGCCACUGGGGCUAAUACCGGAUAGGAGCUCUUGCCGCAUGGUGGGGGUUGGAAAGUUUCGGUGGUUGGGGAUGGACUCGCGGCUUAUCGGCUUGUUGGUGUGGUAGUGUCUUAGCAAGGCCUUGACGGGUAGCCGGCCUGGUAGGGUGACCGGCCACAUUAGGCCUGAGAUGCGGCCCAGACUCGAACGGUAGGCAGCAGUGGAGAAGGGUGUACAGUAGGCGGAAGCCUGAUGUAGCAACGCCGCGUCGGGGAUGACGUGCUUCGGGUAGUGAUGCGCUGUCGCCUGUGACGAAACGAGAGUGACAGUAAUGGGUAAAGAAGCACCGGCUAACUACGUG
rnacentral:rRNA from 1 species